AUUCCUUCUUGGCCUUUGGCUAAGAUCAAGUGUGACUAUCUAUUCUUAUCAGUUUAAGACCUGAUAAGGACAUAUCAGGUGUUAUAUUAAAUGAAUUUUUGGAACAGGGAGAUGGAGCAGGAGCUUGCUCUGUCCACGCCACAUAUUGUCCUGGUAUUGCAGGACCUCUGGUAAUGGUACAUGAAAA